rnacentral:rRNA from 1 species
CGUUUGAUCCUGGCGGAGGCCACUGCUAUCGGAGUUCGAUUAAGCCAUGCGAGUCGAGAGGUGAAAGACCUCGGCAUACUGCUCAGUAACACGUGGACAAUCUACCCUACGGUGAGGGAUAACCCCGGGAAACUGGGGCUAAUACCUCAUAGACUAUGAAUGCUGGAAUGCUUCGUAGUUCAAAGGUCAGCCGCCAUAGGAUGGGUCUGCGGCCGAUUAGGUAGUUGUUGGGGUAACGGCCCAACAAGCCUGUAAUCGGUACGGGUUGUGGGAGCAAGAGCCCGGAGAUGGAUUCUGAGACACGAAUCCAGGCCCUACGGGGCGCAGCAGGCGCGAAAACUUUACAAUGCGGGAAACCGUGAUAAGGGAACUCCGAGUGCCCGUUAAAUCGGGCUGUCCACCAGUUUAAAAAACUGGUGAAGAAAGGGCCGGGCAAGACCGGUGCCAGCCGCCGCGGUAAUACCGGCGGCUCGAGUGGUGGCCACUAUUACUGGGCUUAAAGCGUUCGUAGCUGGUCUGUUAAGUCUCUGGGGAAAUCUACCGGCUUAACCGGUAGGCGUCUCAGGGGUACUGGCAGACUAGGGACCGGGAGAGGUGAGGGGUACUCCAGGGGUAGGAGUGAAAUCCUGUAAUCCUUGGGGGACCACCUGUGGCGAAGGCGCCUCACCAGAACGGCUCCGACAGUGAGGGACGAAAGCUGGGGGAGCAAACCGGAUUAGAUACCCGGGUAGUCCCAGCUGUAAACGAUGCGCGUUAGGUGUAUCGGUGACCACGAGUCACCGAGGUGCCGAAGAGAAAUCGUGAAACGUGCCGCCUGGGAAGUACGGUCGCAAGGCUGAAACUUAAAGGAAUUGGCGGGGGAGCACCACAACGGGUGGAGCCUGCGGUUUAAUCGGACUCAACGCCGGAAAACUCACCGGACAAGACAGCUGAAUGAUAGUCGGGCUGAAGACUCUACUUGACUAGCUGAGAGGAGGUGCAUGGCCGUCGUCAGUUCGUACUGUGAAGCAUCCUGUUAAGUCAGGCAACGAGCGAGACCCA